GACGAACGCUGGCGGCGUGCCUAAUACAUGCAAGUUGGGCGCUGAAGGUUGGUACUUGUACCAACUGGAUGAGCAGCGAACGGGUGAGUAACGCGUGGGGAAUCUGCCUUUGAGCGGGGGACAACAUUUGGAAACGAAUGCUAAUACCGCAUAAAAACUUUAAACACAAGUUUUAAGUUUGAAAGAUGCAAUUGCAUCACUCAAAGAUGAUCCCGCGUUGUAUUAGCUAGUUGGUGAGGUAAAGGCUCACCAAGGCGAUGAUACAUAGCCGACCUGAGAGGGUGAUCGGCCACAUUGGGACUGAGACACGGCCCAAACUCCUACGGGAGGCAGCAGUAGGGAAUCUUCGGAAAUGGACGAAAGUCUGACCGAGCAACGCCGCGUGAGUGAAGAAGGUUUUCGGAUCGUAAAACUCUGUUGGUAGAGAAGAACGUUGGUGAGAGUGGAAAGCUCAUCAAGUGACGGUAACUACCCAGAAAGGGACGGCUAACUACGUG
rnacentral:rRNA from 1 species